AUAGGCGAUCGCGCAUGCGCUCUGGGGCUUUCCGACAGCAAUCUUUACCCUCGCAGCCUCAGGACCCGGAGCAGUCAGCGUCCCUGACGGCCAAUAGGCGCUUAUUUUACAGGAGAGGAAACAGAGGCUCAGAGGAAGAGUGGGAUGGGGGAAAGCCUCAAGAGACUGGAGUUAGAAUCCCACCUGACGCCCGCGAAGCAACAGUGAGGUUAGCCCUGCUGAGCUUCUCUACUCCGUGGACAAAGAGGGAUGGCUUGUCACCGUUCUCGCCGGGAUGAAGAGGAGCACCCUUUGGAUGUCUUAAAGCAGGCACUCCUGGACAUGCCUCCCGUCUCCCUCCUUUUGUCUUUAACCAAGGAACAAAAAUCACGGGGUCAUUUCGCCACCCGAAAGCCUUCCGUGGCUUCCUGCGUCCUCUGGGGUAAAACACAAACUCCUUCGGGACAUUUAAGACUCUUCAUUAUGAGGGAAGGCACUGAUGCAGUGGGAAAAUCACUAGUUUCAGAGUUUAAGUCGUAACAGCUCUGAGCCUGUUUCUUCCAUUAAAAAUAAGAUAAUAGCUUUGUUUUCUUGCAAGCAUCAUUAAAAGUUGACCCACUCUUCCACAAAAA